ensembl:snoRNA
AUUAGAUGAUGAAUCCAUCACGAACAUGAUUCUAUGUGAUUGGAAACUCCUAUACGGAUCUGACUUUUGAUGA